rnacentral:lncRNA from 1 species
ACAGAAAUAGCAACAUAGACUUAUUCAGAAAGACAUAAAAAAAGAACAUGUGCAAGAGAAUGAUGAAAAUUACUGAUAAAAUGAGGGUUGGGGGGAGCGCAGGGGGGAAGAGAGAAAGCUAAUUUUUCGUUUUUGUAUAAUGUUUUAGCACCGUGGGGACAGGGGGCCACGUACGACCCAGCAUACUUUGGCGAUGGCACUAAACUAACAGUUCUAGAUCCUUUAAUUCCCAAGAGUGAACCAUCCGUAAAGAUUCUAAAUGCACCUCAAAAGGAGUCCUGCAAGAAAAAAGUCACACUUGUGUGUUGGGCUGAAGAUUUCUACCCAGACCAUGUGAAAGUAGCAUGGUUUGUUGGACAGCAAGAAAUAACUGAAGAUGUAGCGACAGACCCACAUGCCACCUUUGUCGAGGGAAAAAAGUACACCAUAUCCAGCAGACUAAAAGUCUCUCAGAAGAUGUGGAAAAAAUCAACAAACAAAUUCACCUGUAUAGUGUCCUAUUACAAUGGAUCUGUCACAACUGAACAAUCAGCUUCUGUAUAUGGAGUUGCAGGUGGAUAUGACCGAGACAGCUAUGUGAAGUCGUCACAGUGGAUGAAGCUGGCAUAUGGCGUGACCAUUGCUAAGAGCGGACUGUAUGGCCUUGUCAUCUUUGUGUUUGUAUGGCGAAAGGGUUCAAAUGAAAAGUGAUGACUGGAUCAUCUGACCAUGAUGACUGAUGGAUUCUGGACGAAAGAAAUAAUCAAGAAAACACCAACAGUUUACUCCAUCCAGAAUAGAAGAUGCUGUAUAUAUAACUGAGGGCUUUUUUAUUUUAUUGGUAACACUUUACAAAAAGGUUUUACAAUAUUUGGUAAUGAUAUUACAUUAAACAGCAUAAAUUAGUAUUAAAUUAUAGCAUUUAUUUACCUUUGUUGACGUUGGUACAAUUGUUUUUUGCACUGUAAAGCAUAUCCAGUAAUUUGAUUUGCUCAUCACCCAAUGACGGUUGGGGUUAGGGGUGGGGUUAGGUGCAACGCCUCCUUUUAAAAUCGUACAUUUACAUACAAAUUCGUAUGAAUUAGCCACUAAACUGACAAAAUGUAAAAUACUUACGUUUCCUCGUGAGAUCAAGCUGGUAAUAUAGAGAAUUAAGUAGCUGUAAAAUAACAGAAUAGCGAAAAAAUAUUACCAGUUUUCAUAUCGAAAUUAACUUCACUAUCCCAGGCGGUAAAUAACUUCAAACUAUGUCAACAACAUUUUCAAACUGCUCAACACUAAAAGAUUAGAAAAA